CGAACGCUGGCGGCGUGCUUACCACAUGCAAGUCGAACGGUGAAGCGCCUUCCUUUUUGGUGGGUGUGGAUGAGUGGCGAACGGGUGAGUAACACGUGAGUAACCUGCCCCCUUCUUCUGGAUAACCGCAUGAAAGUGUGGCUAAUACGGGAUAUUCUGGGUCUGUCGCAUGAUGGGUCUGGGAAAGAUAUUGUUUCGGUGGGGGAUGGGCUCGCGGCCUAUCAGCUUGUUGGUGGGGUGAUGGCCUACCAAGGCGGUGACGGGUAGCCGGCCUGAGAGGGUGGACGGUCACACUGGGACUGAGACACGGCCCAGACUCCUACGGGAGGCAGCAGUGGGGAAUAUUGCACAAUGGGCGCAAGCCUGAUGCAGCGACGCCGCGUGAGGGAUGGAGGCCUUCGGGUUGUGAACCUCUUUCGCCAGUGAAGCAGGCCUGCCUCGUUUGUGGGUGGGUUGACGGUAGCUGGAUAAGAAGCGCCGGCUAACUACGUG
rnacentral:rRNA from 1 species